AGGCUUAGAGGCCUUGGGCUCCAGUCUGACACUCCCUCGCCAGUGCUUCAAGGCUUUCAAAGCUGAGCUUCCCUCUGACCUCCUUGGAGUUACAGAGAGCCUCCAACAUCUGCCUUUCCAGGCACAGACCUCUCCAUUCUGGCCAGAUUCUGUGACUUGCUGAUUUGCAGGCAACAAAGGAGUGCCCCAGAAUGAGUUUGGAGAAGCGAUUGGUCUCGGUCACAGCAAUAUUAGAUGUUCAGUAACACCCUGUAAAAACACUCCAAAAUACCAUCAAUGACAUCUCUCCAAACUGGCUUCGAGCUUGCAAGUGUGCAAAGCACCUCUUAGUGGGAGGUCGUGCAGGACUCUGACACACUCAGCAAGCUGACAACCCCAAAGUGAGCGCUGACGGACCCGGAAAACUGUCUGUGCAUGAGAGCAGAACCCGCCUUCACUUUAAAGAGGUCAGUAAAGAGGAGAACCGGUGACUUUAACUAAUCGUUUUGUUUUUCUACUAAAAGCGAAUUUUUGCAAAGUGUACGAGUAAGAAUGACUGAAACAAUCUGCGACUUCAGCCCCUCCCGCCGCAGGCAAGCUGCGAUUUCCCCGUUUGGCCUCGGCCUCGCCUAAGUGAGCCCCACAGUGUCCGCAGAUCCCUCGUCUCAUCCCUCCCAAGCCAAAAAACCGCUGGGCUAAGUUCCAGGCCCGCUUCUCCCACUCCUGCUGCAGAAAAACAAAAGAGGUGGAGAGGGCUGGCAGCAGCCGGGACUCAGACUCCGCCAGGGAGCGCACGGGGUGGAGGGGGGCCGGAGGCGAGGGUGGGACCAGGAUGAGAGACUAGGGAUCGGGUCUGGACCUGGGGUCCGGGACCGGGUAUCGGGACCGGGAUUCAGGGACUGGACCCGGGGUCGGGGCCGCGGCUGCCGUCGCCUCUCA